GAUGAACGCUGGCGGCGUGCCUAAUACAUGCAAGUCGAGCGAACGGACGAGAAGCUUGCUUCUCUGAUGUUAGCGGCGGACGGGUGAGUAACACGUGGAUAACCUACCUAUAAGACUGGGAUAACUUCGGAAAACCGGAGCUAAUACCGGAUAAUAUUUUGAACCGCAUGGUUCAAAAGUGAAAGACGGUCUUGCUGUCACUUAUAGAUGGAUCCGCGCUGCAUUAGCUAGUUGGUAAGGUAACGGCUUACCAAGGCAACGAUGCAUAGCCGACCUGAGAGGGUGAUCGGCCACACUGGAACUGAGACACGGUCCAGACUCCUACGGGAGGCAGCAGUAGGGAAUCUUCCGCAAUGGGCGAAAGCCUGACGGAGCAACGCCGCGUGAGUGGUGAAGGUCUUCGGAUCGUAAAACUCUGUUAUUAGGGAAGAACAUAUGUGUAAGUAACUGUGCACAUCUUGACGGUACCUAAUCAGAAAGCCACGGCUAACUACGUG
rnacentral:rRNA from 1 species